rnacentral:lncRNA from 1 species
GGUGAAAAAUCAUUUCAUGCAUACAAAAAUAAAGAAUUUGACACAAUGUGCUAUUUUUUUUUAACUCUAUUUACAAUCUCAUAUUAAAAAUAAUUACCAAGAAUUUCACAAACACAACCACUGUAAGGACUUCUAUAGCACCGACUUCAAGUUCAACCCCAAACCACUUUUAGAUCUUCAGCUCUCACCUAGGUAAAGGCAAGAGAUAGAUACCUCAGAAUUUCAGUUGACAUCCUUGAGCCUCUUGAUUAGAGAAUCUAGAGAUUUUUUCUUGGGAUUUUGCUUGUAACCUCUUGAUCCAAAAGUUCCAAACAGUCGUUCAGAAGGAUCCUUUAGUUUCUCUGAAAUGAUUGCGACUUUUCUGUAAUCCAAAGCAUUGUAGCUUCUCUCCCUGAUCACAGGAUUCAAAAAGUUCUCUGGGUUAUUGCUGAGAAGCAAAUUAACCAACUGUCUGGCCUCUACAAGUGCUUUCUUCAACUGAUUAGCCUCUUCUUCAGAUACAAGAGAAGCUUGGUUUUCAGCAAAUUGUUCCAACACUUUAAUAUCAACAUCAAUCCCCAUCACAGCAUUCAAACUAAACUUUUUCACAGAUUCACCAACUAAAAAGUUAACAAUCGUUUCCGAUAUGUGAGCUAGAACAUCUUGCAACACUCGAUUAAGGACUUGGCCAGGCAAUAUCUGCUGUGCAGUAGAAAGAAGAGUUUCCAGAAAUAUUAUGACCUCAUUCACAUAUUCAUUUUCAUUCUGAGGCUGUUCAUCAAUCAUCCAAUUAACAUUCUCAAUCAAUGUCAUAAAACCAUCAACCUUCUUUUUAAGCAAGCUAGAAAGCAUUUCUUCAGCUGCGUCACGUGCUUUGGUCAGCGGAAACUGCCGCCUACUUCUUUCCACCAUCCUCAACGGGAGCCCAGAAAGCUUUGCAGCAUGUCGAAAGAAGAAAUCACAUGCCCGUUCAAAAACAGCCAUAUUGGCAGCAACAACCAUCGCUUGAUUAACCCCACUAAUUGAAGUGCUGAUAAGCUUUAGCAAGGCAUCAUCCAGAACCUCAGUCAAAAGCCGGUCCAAGUACUUCUUCACAACAUCAUAGAAAUCUAGCUGCCCACCAUGAGACAUGAAACUAACAGAAUCCUCAACAAAAGACCUCACAAUUCUACAACAAUCAGGCACUGUGGAUGAAAAUGGGGCAAUAUAAGGAAAUGCAGGUACGAUAUCAGACGUUUGUAUCUGAAAAGAAAGCACAUUCAUAGAAUACUCAUACUCCUUAUUCAUCCACAUCUGCUGAAAUUUAUCAGCCGCCAGGGCUUCAGCAACUUGCAUUCUACAAUCCGAUAACAACAACUCAUGAUACUUAUCCCUAUGCUUGUUCAACACAUCAAGCAACGCAUCAACCGAGUACCCAUACCUCCGCAGUUAACACGGAAAUGUGGUUGCUGGUGGUUUAGGUGAGCAGAUCCAGAUGGGAACGACGUCGUGGGAGUGGUUGGUUAAUUUCUUUUUCUUUUCUUUUAACAGCUUACACGAACUGGUUGACG